GCAUAGGGAUACGGGGGCUUGAGCGAAUCAGGCUGAGAUAGCGGCAUAUUGCGCCGCGGACCGUUAAUCUGAUCUGGAUAAUGCCAGCGUAGAGAAUCGAUCGUCCGGGACU
rnacentral:ncRNA from 2 species